rnacentral:snoRNA from 1 species
AGCACCAUUCUAUGUUUGGGAAUUUUCCCCGUUCCUGGUUAUACUGUAGUGCAAAAGAAUUCCUGGCUCUUUAUUACACAGUGGACUUGUGCCAUUUUGCUGUUGCUUUAUGGAGUUGAGGAACAUUA